AGUACAUGGGGUGUAAACCAAUAAACUUACUCUAAACUUAAAUUUUUUUUAGAUUUAUUAAGUGAAUAAGAUUUACAUUCGAUAUAAGGCUUGUCUGUAUACAACUAUUUAGUGAAAAUUGUGAAUUUCUGCAAAAAGGGUGCUGUUAAAGCAGUUGUACCAAGUAUAAUCAAAGGAAAUUGAAAAAGAAAAUGAACUUGCCAAAGUAGAAAUGAAUCCAAUAUAUCUUAAAAGAAAUAUGUAAAAAUAUAAAUAA